ensembl:lncRNA
CGGCUCCUGAAACCGAAAGCAGCUGAGACGCAGCUUGGAAGCGACAUUUGCAGCACUUCGUGUCGCACCGCAGUGCAGAGCAGGUUCUUUUCAUUCUCAUCUCAGAGAUAAACUAGACAAUGAGUCAACUCGGGGAUGAAGACCAACAUGAACCAACAUCUGAAUCCAGACCUCCAGCUCUCCCAGAAAGGGGAUCUCAGGAUCCUGGAAAGAAAAGGACUAGUGAGAACAAGAACAUUUCAGAUCAAAGCUGUGCUGGUAAGUUCAACUUGGUGAAGCCACAAUCGGUGCCGCUGCGUUGGGAAGCUACUGGAGACCCGGCUGGUCUUCCUGCAGCGAUCACGUUGACCCCGGUCAGUUCCGACUCCGUCGCUCUGAAGUGUGAAGAGACUGACCUUCCGAUCAAGAAAUUCAGGCUGAGCUGGAGAAAGACAGAAGAUCUGCACUGUGUGGACAUUCCAGGCCUGAAGUACGAGAUCCAUGGACUCGAUCCAGGACAGAAGUACGACUUCACUGUCUGUGUCCUCGGUGAAGACGACAGGACAGUGGCGUCAGCAUCCGGAUCCUUACUGACAGAAGUUCCUCCUCCUGAAGACGUCAAGGUGCAGAAUGAUGGACAGACCGUCUCUGUGUCGUGGGCGGAAAGGGCGGGGCUGGAGGAAGCCUGGUAUCUCGUUUCCUUCCUCAGCGGGGGCGUGUCCAGAAACAGCGUGUACACAAAAUAUCAUGAAUGUUCUCACCAACUGGACACCGGUGAGGAGCACAACAUCAGCAUCUCCACUGUGCUGAGAAACGGCAAACAGAGCAAAGCUGUUGAAAAGACUGUGGUUAAAGGUUCUUUUGAAGGUGCUCCAGCUCCAGAUUUGCUCCACUGGAGUAAAGAGAGUAAACCAGAUAAACCAGAGCCCAUCUCUACAGAGUCAUCCAGCACAGAACUCACAGAGCUGAAACCAGAAACUGACUACGAAAUUACUGCCUGGACUGAGCUUAAACACGGAGGGACGAGUCAACCUGCUGCUUCUACCUUCAGAACCUUCAGAACAGCUCCCCCGACUUCCCUCAUGGACCAACACAGAUCAGUGCAACUGUCGCUCCCCAUCGCGUCUUGCCCACAUGGGGCCACCAUGGAACCCACCCCAAAAUUAACUGGGACCCAUUUGGACAGGCCAGACCAGCCCAUCUCCAACUCAUACGUGUUGGCUAGAGACCAAGCUCUGAAUGUCCAAGGACUAAUUGGGGAUCAUUUCCAACACACUGCAGGGUUAUGA